rnacentral:tRNA from 1 species
AGGGGUGUCGGUCAGUGGUAGGCCGGCGGUCUCCAAAACCGUCAACGAAAGUUCGAUUCUUUCCACCCCUG